CAAUAGCGUAUAUUUAAGUUGUUGCAGUUAAAAAGCUCGUAGUUGGAUUUCGGUUAAGAGCGACCGGUCCGCCGUUUGGUGUGCACUGGUUGGUUUUAACUUCCUGUAGAGGACGUGCUCUGGGUUUAAUGACCUGGACUCGGAGUCUACGUGGUUACUUUGAAAAAAUUAGAGUGUUCAAAGCGGGCUUACGCUUGAAUAUUUCAGCAUGGAAUAACACUAUAGGACUCCUGUCCUAUUUCGUUGGUCUCGGGACGGGAGUAAUGAUUAAGAGGAACAGUUGGGGGCAUUCGUAUUUCAUUGCCAGAGGUGAAAUUCUUGGAUUUAUGAAAGACGAACUUCUGCGAAAGCAUUUGCCAAGGAUGUUUUCAUUAA
rnacentral:rRNA from 1 species